AGUGAACGCUGGCGGUAGGCCUAACACAUGCAAGUCGAACGGCAGCGCAGUAAGAGCUUGCUCUUACGGGUGGCGAGUGGCGGACGGGUGAGGAAUACAUCGGAAUCUACUUUUUCGUGGGGGAUAACGUAGGGAAACUUACGCUAAUACCGCAUACGACCUACGGGUGAAAGCAGGGGAUCUUCGGACCUUGCGCGAUUGAAUGAGCCGAUGUCGGAUUAGCUAGUUGGCGGGGUAAAGGCCCACCAAGGCGACGAUCCGUAGCUGGUCUGAGAGGAUGAUCAGCCACACUGGAACUGAGACACGGUCCAGACUCCUACGGGAGGCAGCAGUGGGGAAUAUUGGACAAUGGGCGCAAGCCUGAUCCAGCCAUACCGCGUGGGUGAAGAAGGCCUUCGGGUUGUAAAGCCCUUUUGUUGGGAAAGAAAAGCAGCAGGUUAAUACCCCGCUGUUCUGACGGUACCCAAAGAAUAAGCACCGGCUAACCUCGUG
rnacentral:rRNA from 1 species